rnacentral:lncRNA from 1 species
GGGGAACGCAAGGGGCUGGGGGGGGGCGUGAGACCGCCCCAGAGCCGAGGCGACCCCAAAUGGGAGAGCAGGAAGAAUGACAGGGAGACUCGGAGGGAGUGGGGGAGGGAGGUGAAAUGCAGCCGGGCUGGCCUCCUCCAGGCUGCUCUUCCAAAUCGCCUCGGCUCAUCGGAGAUUACCACACUAAAAUUAAUGCCCACACACAGACCUGGCUAGAUAGCAAGAAAGAAGUUUCUCUGCCUGCCUAACUACCGGCUCCCGCCCCUUUGCGCCGAGAUAACUCGGAGAUAAGACUGCGCGCAGAUAAGCGCUUCGAGGAGAGGAAAAGAGACUAGAAGUUGGUCCGCGGUGUCCCGGGAGCCUGGGAGCCGCCUCAGCCCGCCCGGAGGGGAGGAGGGAAACACCCUCGGAGCCGACCGCGGCCUGGAGAGGGCCGGAGAGCCGGAGGCCAGGGGCCCGCGACGAGUAGGGGUAGAGGAGAGGAAAGCGGGGAGAUCGCGCGAGGAGGAAGCAGCCGAACCUCGGGCGGGCGCUGCGCAUGGAGAACGGCCGCGGCGGAGGGUGCUCCCAGGCGCGGAGAGAGGCCGAGGGCGCCAGCGGGCGAGCGCGAGUCCGGGGUCUGCGCCGCGCUGCUGGUGAAUAAAAAGGAGAGAGGAGGCGCCUCUUACUGCUCUGCCGGAAAACUGCAGCCUGGGCUCCUGAUUGGACUCACCGAGCCCUAAACAAACAGCGCUCGCCGAAGGGUGCCAGGCUGUGGGUCGGAACUGCGCUCAGCGAGCAGCUGGGCGCUGGAUCCAGACCUUGGGUCAGCACGCUCCCAGAAGGAAGGGGGAACGUGCUCUGCGCCCCCCCGCCCCCCAACCCCCGCCUAGCCCCUUCACAGCAAAUGCGCUUUUUGCCCUGAAGUUGUGUGAGACCGACCUUAAACUUUCUCCGACCCUAUCUCGGGAUGCUACGGCUCAGGUCGUGGUGGUUUCGGGAACCUCAAGACAACAUUCCCCAGCUGACCUUUGGGAACUUUAACUCGGGUCGUCACGUACGGAAAGGUAGUCUAUGGGGUACGCAGAAUGGAAAAGGGCUUCCACAUCAGUCGUGUCCGAGGACGCUCUCCAACUUUUGAUGUCCCGUUUGCUCUGAUAUUUCCCUGGAGAGUUUCAAAAGGAUUUCUUCCGACAGACGUGACCCCAGAAGGCUGCCGAGGGAGACUUUAGGACAAGAGGAGUUGUUUUUUAGGGAAGGGAGAGGAGCCUGUGCAGAGUUGAACUGGGGUGGAGAGGUGCCUUGUAAAGUAUGGUUUCCAGAGAUGGUGAGACCUCGUAGCUAAGCGUUGUUUCCUCUGCACGUAACUUUCAGCGUGGCCGCAUUUGGAAAAGGCUGAAGGUAGAAAACUCUGGAAUGGAGAGGCUGGCGACUGGAGCAGGAUCCGGGGGCUUUAAAUUUUAACCUGAGUGCGAUCGAAUGCGCGACUCCCAGAAGAGAUAGCCAGGCGUCCGCCCGGCCGCUCAACCCCCGCCAGGACUCGGAAUGCCUUGCUUUUGGUUCUUUUUACAAGGAUGUCUGCGUGGAUAUCCCUGGACACUCGAUACCCCCCGGGGACCUGCUUUUCCCGCAGCUCCGCAGACGCGGCGGGAGGGCGCACUGGCCCCGGCGCUGCUGGGACAGAGGUGAGCAGCGGGGUGGACAUUGACCGAUUCGACAACGUUCGGGCUCUAAGGGCUCGGGAAGGGACCCGGCAUUUUACCCUCCAGAUUCCCAAUCUAUUUUUAAAAAUAAUGUUCAAAACAUAUGGGAAAAAUAAGUGAUUGCUCCUUUUCAUGGUCACAGAUUGUAUUUAUUUUUUCAGACUGGUUUUCCAACCUAACGAGGGAAUGGGUAGUGAAUGUUGUUGUUGUUGUUGUUGUUUAUGUUGGUUAAUUUCGAAAUAAAACUGUUUAACUCGUACAGUUGAUUCAGACAGAAAACCAGGCUGCCUGA